GUGACUGCGUACCUUUUGUAUAAUGGGUCAGCGACUUAUAUUCUGUAGCAAGGUUAACCGUAUAGGGGAGCCGGAGGGAAACCGAGUCUUAACCGGGCGUUAAGUUGCAGGGUAUAGACCCGAAACCCGGUGAUCUAGCCAUGGGCAGGUUGAAGGUUGGGUAACACUAACUGGAGGACCGAACCGACUAAUGUUGAAAAAUUAGCGGAUGACCUGUGGCUGGGGGUGAAAGGCCAAUCAAACCGGGAGAUAGCUGGUUCUCCCCGAAAGCUAUUUAGGUAGCGCCUCGUGAAUUCAUCUCCGGGGGUAGAGCACUGUUUCGGCUAGGGGGCCAUCCCGGCUUACCAACCCGAUGCAAACUGCGAAUACCGGAGAAUGUUAUCACGGGAGACACACGGCGGGUGCUAACGUCCGUCGUGAAGAGGGAAACAACCCAGACCGCCAGCUAAGGUCCCAAAGUCAUGGUUAAGUGGGAAACGAUGUGGGAAGGCCCAGACAGCCAGGAUGUUGGCUUAGAAGCAGCCAUCAUUUAAAGAAAGCGUAAUAGCUCACUGGUCGAGUCGGCCUGCGCGGAAGAUGUAACGGGGCUAAACCAUGCACCGAAGCUGCGGCAGCGRACGGAGAAGGCUAUGUUGGCCGGGCGACGGUUGUCCCGGUUUAAGCGUGUAGGUGUGUGUUCCAGGUAAAUCCGGUUCACUUUAACACUGAGGCGUGACGACGAGGCACUACGGUGCUGAAGCAACAAAUGCCCUGCUUCCAGGAAAAGCCUCUAAGCAUCAGGUAACAUCAAAUCGUACCCCAAACCGACACAGGUGGUCAGGUAGAGAAUACCAAGGCGCUUGAGAGAACUCGGGUGAAGGAACUAGGCAAAAUGGUGCCGUAACUUCGGGAGAAGGCACGCUGACAYGUAGGUGAAGUGAUUUACUCAUGGAGCUGAAGUCAGUCGAAGAUACCAGCUGGCUGCAACUGUUUAUUAAAAACACAGCACUGUGCAAACACGAAAGUGGACGUAUACGGUGUGACGCCUGCCCGGUGCCGGAAGGUUAAUUGAUGGGGUCAGCGCAAGCGAAGCUCCUGAUCGAAGCCCCGGUAAACGGCGGCCGUAACUAUAACGGUCCUAAGGUAGCGAAAUUCCUUGUCGGGUAAGUUCCGACCUGCACGAAUGGCGUAAUGAUGGCCAGGCUGUCUCCACCCGAGACUCAGUGAAAUUGAACUCGCUGUGAAGAUGCAGUGUACCCGCGGCAAGACGGAAAGACCCCGUGAACCUUUACUAUAGCUUGACACUGAACAUUGAGCCUUGAUGUGUAGGAUAGGUGGGAGGCUUUGAAGUGUGGACGCCAGUCUGCAUGGAGCCGRCCUUGAAAUACCACCCUUUAAUGUUUGAUGUUCUAACGUGGACCCGUGAUCCGGGUUGCGGACAGUGUCUGGUGGGUAGUUUGACUGGGGCGGUCUCCUCCUAAAGAGUAACGGAGGAGCACGAAGGUUGGCUAAUCCUGGUCGGACAUCAGGAGGUUAGUGCAAUGGCAUAAGCCAGCUUGACUGCGAGCGUGACGGCGCGAGCAGGUGCGAAAGCAGGUCAUAGUGAUCCGGUGGUUCUGAAUGGAAGGGCCAUCGCUCAACGGAUAAAAGGUACUCCGGGGAUAACAGGCUGAUACCGCCCAAGAGUUCAUAUCGACGGCGGUGUUUGGCACCUCGAUGUCGGCUCAUCACAUCCUGGGGCUGAAGUAGGUCCCAAGGGUAUGGCUGUUCGCCAUUUAAAGUGGUACGCGAGCUGGGUUUAGAACGUCGUGAGACAGUUCGGUCCCUAUCUGCCGUGGGCGCUGGAGAACUGAGGGGGGCUGCUCCUAGUACGAGAGGACCGGAGUGGACGCAUCACUGGUGUUCGGGUUGUCAUGCCAAUGGCACUGCCCGGUAGCUAAAUGCGGAAGAGAUAAGUGCUGAAAGCAUCUAAGCACGAAACUUGCCCCGAGAUGAGUUCUCCCUGAGACUUUA
rnacentral:rRNA from 1 species